CAUCAGCGGCGCAGGGCCAGUGCAGCGGUUGUUCUUGUACCGAGUGGUUCGGGUACCGUGAGCUUCAGGAAAAGGAACUCCAGUAUCUUCGAGAAGAGAAUCUUCAGCAUCUCAAGAAGAGGAGGUCCAGCAUCUUAAGACAUCAUGACCGUCAUCACCAGCUUCUCGUCGGGAGAUGAAAAGCGUGAAAAGCAUAACUACAACUACGACUGCACCUUCGCUGGUGGGAAGGAGCGGAGGAAGUACUUCACCAGGCAGUUCUUCUGCAUCUUUCCCCCGGUCUACCCGACGGGAUCGCUCUUCCAGCCGCCCAGCGUUUUCAACAGCGGCUCCUGGAGUGUCCGCCUGAAGCUCAACAGGCAGACAUCGCUGCGCCAACGGAGGACCCCCAUCUUCCUUCGGAACUACACCCAGCCAGGCUCUGGAUUCACCGUCCGCUAAGCACACGGGCGACCGAAAUGCCUGAGGAUGUCAACGAAGAAAUGCACUCAUAAGAAACAAAGCUUUACUCAAGUUAUAGACCCGGCGGAAUCGUCGCGUAUGAACCUAUUUUGAGAUCUAUCUGUCAUCAUGUAAGUCGUUAAAGAACAUAAGGGUCACGCCCCGCAUUCGUCAGUGUUAUUCUUGUCUAUGACACCGUGCCAGCCUCUGUGAGUAUGGCAUCAAUGUGACCUGAUACCAAUUGCCAUGACCUAUGCUUGUAAUAUACAGUCUGUUUGGUACUAACUAAACGGGGUUGCAAAGUUGCAAACAGAUUUGUUGGGCAGAUAUUGCACAGAUUAAAGGUAAAAAAAAUCAUCUCCUCCUUGACAUAAGCGAAAUGGCAACCACUGUCAUAAUUUCUCUUCCUUAGUUGGCUUUUGCUAAAACGUUUGGCUUUCGUUAGACAUUGUAUUAUGUAUGUGAAAAAUCAGCAAAGUAUGCUUCAUCGUGAAUUUCUCAUUGCCAUAUUUACGCCUGUGGCUCACAACGUGUACUUAGCUACACGACAUACAUGUAAGCCGCCACUUCAGCGGAUUAGGCGGGUCGAGAGUUAAACUAUUAACAUUGAUAUUCCGUUACAACAAAACGUGAAAGGAUGACAGUUUAGUCAGACAUAAAUCGAUAUCAAAUAUCGCUGAACAUUGUAUGAGCCAGUCCCCCAGUUUUCUUAUCAAAAUGUUAUCUUUUUUAGAUGAAAGUCAAAAAUCGCUGAUGAGUAUUUCGUUGUCAAAGAAAUGGACACCAAAGCUUCGUGCAAAAGUGCGAAAGGACCUUUCCACUUGUAAACAUUACAGCGAUACAAAAGAGCUGCGUGUUUUGAAUUUUUGAAAUUCUAUGCAGGGUGUGAGGUCUGGAUCCCAGCGAGAGCAAGUGGUGCACGCCAUGAUCCACAUGUAGCUGGCAGCGGGGAACAUUGCUGUGAUAAAUCAAGGCUUAUAUUACGUUCUGACCCUACAAAAGCUCAAGCUGUGGGCCUAAAAUCAAAUAUGCCUUUCUCUGUGUAGUAUUUGCCUAAUGUUUUAUGUCACGUUGUUCUGAUGUUCUUAUAUGUCUAUCAACAAACUUUUGAUGAGAAUAUUUGGACAUCUGAAUAUUCCUGCGAGACCCUGUAACAGUCGUGGAUUAACACGGCGUCACUCUUUCAUCAAAUUUGUUGUUGCUGUACUUUAAAAUAUUUAUGUUCUUAUUGGUCCAUGUUUUGUACAGUGUAUAUAUGUUUUAAGUUGUCUGCAUGGAACUGUGAUAGAUAUAUUGUCUGUAGAGUGCCCAUGAGACCCUCCACAACUUUCCUCGUCAGAGACGAAAACAUCGACUAAAAGAGAAUAACACUCUCAGCUUGUCUGUUCUGUAAAGUUAAUAGCCUGGUAAUUUCCACGCAUCUACAGAACUGAAAGAUAGAAGUCAUCAACUGAGAUCUGCCAAAAACCCGAACCACUCGGUACUGUCAAGAUCUCUUGUCGAGGAAAGGCUGCCAUCCCUAGAAGAGUAUUUUGAUAACAUCUGUGCAAAUGAAAACACUCUACGAUGAAGAGCGUACUUAAGACGAUGUCUGAGUACGUACAUAUUGAAGGGGAAUAAGGUGGUUUCACAUGUUUUACAUGUGUGUACAUUCAGGAGAACAGAGUUAUUUGACAUCAAACCCAUCCACAGCUCGGGAGGAGACUUACAGAGCAUCUAAUAUAUACUUUUGAUAUAUUUGAUGAUUGGUUGAAUUGUGGAUCUGAUGUCAAAAUGUGCUAUUCAUAUAUUGUACGGAUACUGAGAUCUCGCGAUAGAUAACGAGAUGUUGCCUCAGUAAUGUUGAAAUUGUUCGGAUGGUAUGUUGUAACAGUAGAGAUGUUUGGGAAACGAAUCUCCGCGGAAAGGCAGCGAGGAGGGGGGUCUCCUCUAUUGGCCUGCACAAAACCAGACCUUAGAGAAAAUGGGAUCACUGUCCUGUCUUAUAUUCUGUAAACUAUGUGUUUAUAUCAUUCAGAAAUAAACGUUUAAAAAUUUCC